rnacentral:rRNA from 1 species
CCUACGGGCGGCAGCAGUGGGGAAUAUUGCGCAAUGGGCGAAAGCCUGACGCAGCGACGCCGCGUGGGUGAAGGAGUGCUUCGGCAUGUAAAGCCCUAUCGGCAGGGAAGAAGCAAGACGGUACCUGACUAAGAAGCACCGGCUAACUACGUGCCAGCAGCCGCGGUAAUACGUAGGGGGCGAGCGUUAUCCGGAUUUACUGGGUGUAAAGGGCGUGUAGCCGGGAAGGCAAGUCAGAUGUGAAAUCCGGAGGCUCAACCUCCGAAUUGCAUUUGAAACUGUUUGUCUUGAGUACUGGAGAGGAAGACGGAAUUCCUUGUGUAGCGGUGAAAUGCGUAGAUAUAAGGAGGAACACCAGUGGCGAAGGCGGUCUGCUGGACAGCAACUGACGGUGAGGCGCGAAAGCGUGGGGAGCAAACAGGAUUAGAUACCCGUGUAGUC